CUAGUACUCCCUCCGGUCGAAAUUGCUUGCCUCAAAAAUAGAUGUAUCUAAAACUAAAAUACGUCUAAAUACAUUUAUUUUUGUGACAAGUAAUUUCGAACGGAGGGAGUAGUAC
rfam:Triticum urartu cultivar G1812 contig1190472, whole genome shotgun sequence.